UACGUAGGGUCCAAGCGUUAAUCGGAAUUACUGGGCGUAAAGCGUGCGCAGGCGGUUCGUUAAGUCAGCUGUGAAAUCCCCCGGGCUCAACCUGGGAACUGCAUUUGUGACUGCACGGCUGGAGUGCGGCAGAGGGGGGAUGGAAUUUCCGCGUGUAGCAGUGAAAUGCGUAGAUAUCUGGAGGAACACCGGUGGCGAAGGCGCAUCCUGGACCAACACUGACGCUGAGGAGCGAAAGCGUGGGGAGCAACGG
rnacentral:rRNA from 1 species